rnacentral:rRNA from 1 species
ACGCUCGACACCUACGGGAGCAGCAGUGGGGAAUAUUGCACAAUGGGGGAAACCCUGAUGCAGCGACGCCGCGUGGAGGAAGAAGGUCUUCGGAUUGUAAACUCCUGUUGUUGGGGAAAAAGAGGAUGGUACCCAACAAGGAAGUGACGGCUAACUACGUGCCAACAGCCGAAACGGUNUCUGAGCGGGCUGGCAAGGC